rnacentral:ncRNA from 1 species
CGAAGUCGUCUUGCCCAAGACCCACGGAGACCUACCUAUAGUGACGUCAAAGUACCAGUGAGCAUGGAGGUUUGGUUGAAAUUGGUUACNNCGACGUCGAGUUGGCGGCGGAGGAAGACUCGGCAUGAAGGCCAGCCGCCCGGUGGUGUGGUACAUAGUGGUAAUAGUACGUGCCCCGCUCCGAAACAAAGAAAAAGAUGCAUGUCGCACUCACGAGGGACUACGAGUGAGAUACCGGAGGAAGGUGGGAUGACGUCAAGUCCACAUGGCCCUUAUGGGUUGGGCCACACACGUGCUACAGUGUCACUGACAAUGGGAAGCAAGGUUGUAAGGUGGAACGAAUCCGGAAAGAUUGCCUCGAUUCGGAUUGUUCUCUGCAACUCGGGAACAUGAAGUUGAAAUCGCUAGUAAUCGCGGAUCACCAUGCCGCGGUGAAUAUGUGCUUGGGCCGUGUACUCACCGCCCGUCAAACCCUGGGAAUUGGUUUCUCCCGAAGCAUCGGACCAAUGAUCACCCAUGACUUCUAUGUACCACUAGUGCCCCAAAAGGCCUUGGGUGGUCUUAUUGGCGCAUACCACGGUGGGGUCUUCGACUGGGGUGAAGUCGUAACAUGAAGUCGUAACAAGGUAACAAGGUAG